UGUGACAUGUAGAGAAUUUGUGUCUUCAUUGUGAGAGCAGCGUGCAUGUCUGUUGAAUCUGUCUACAUGAUCAUGAAUGAAGUGAUGACCUCCAGCUGUCUCGUGUUGGUUUGUUGGCGAGCUGUGCAUGAGAUAGACUGUAAUCUUUGUAUUGACAGGUGUGAACAUCGUGAUGUAACUGGGACAGCGGUUGACAUUGAGCUGUUAAAGUGUGAGAACAUGAAUGGAAGAAAUGCUGCCCUGCAGUGAUUGGGUGUUGGGUGCAGGUAUAAAUGAUGCGUCUCGAUGGAGCUUCCCUGCUGUGUUUUCAUGGCUCCACAAGGAGGGCGGU